ensembl:piRNA 21ur-9635 ncRNA
UGCUCCCAUAAAAUGAAUUGC